rnacentral:rRNA from 1 species
UACGUAGGGGGCAAGCGUUGUCCGGAUUUAUUGGGCGUAAAGAGCGUGUAGGCGGCUAGAUAGGUCCGUUGUGAAAACUGGAGGCUCAACCUCCAGCUGUCGAUGGAAACCAUCUGGCUAGAGUCCGGAAGAGGAGAGUGGAAUUCCUGGUGUAGCGGUGAAAUGCGCAGAUAUCAGGAAGAACACCCGUGGCGAAGGCGGCUCUCUGGGACGUGACUGACGCUGAGACGCGAAAGCGUGGGGAGCGAACAGG